rnacentral:rRNA from 1 species
CAGUCGAACGAGUUCUCGUUGAUGAUCGGUGCUUGCACCGAGAUUCAACAUGGAACGAGUGGCGGACGGGUGAGUAACACGUGGGUAACCUGCCCUUAAGUGGGGGAUAACAUUUGGAAACAGAUGCUAAUACCGCAUAGAUCCAAGAACCGCAUGGUUCUUGGCUGAAAGAUGGCGUAAGCUAUCGCUUUUGGAUGGACCCGCGGCGUAUUAGCUAGUUGGUGAGGUAACGGCUCACCAAGGCGAUGAUACGUAGCCGAACUGAGAGGUUGAUCGGCCACAUUGGGACUGAGACACGGCCCAAACUCCUACGGGAGGCAGCAGUAGGGAAUCUUCCACAAUGGACGCAAGUCUGAUGGAGCAACGCCGCGUGAGUGAAGAAGGCUUUCGGGUCGUAAAACUCUGUUGUUGGAGAAGAAUGGUCGGCAGAGUAACUGUUGUCGGCGUGACGGUAUCCAACCAGAAAGCCACGGCUAACUACGUGCCAGCAGCCGCGGUAAUACGUAGGUGGCAAGCGUUAUCCGGAUUUAUUGGGCGUAAAGCGAGCGCAGGCGGUUUUUUAAGUCUGAUGUGAAAGCCCUCGGCUUAACCGAGGAAGCGCAUCGGAAACUGGGAAACUUGAGUGCAGAAGAGGACAGUGGAACUCCAUGUGUAGCGGUGAAAUGCGUAGAUAUAUGGAAGAACACCAGUGGCGAAGGCGGCUGUCUGGUCUGUAACUGACGCUGAGGCUCGAAAGCAUGGGUAGCGAACAGGAUUAGAUACCCUGGUAGUCCAUGCCG